rnacentral:rRNA from 1 species
UACGAAGGGGGCUAGCGUUGCUCGGAAUGACUGGGCGUAAAGGGCGCGUAGGCGGAUGACACAGUCAGAUGUGAAAUUCCCGGGCUUAACCUGGGGGCUGCAUUUGAUACGUGUUGUCUAGAGUGAGGAAGAGGGUUGUGGAAUUCCCAGUGUAGAGGUGAAAUUCGUAGAUAUUCGCAAGAACACCAGUGGCGAAGGCGGCUCACUGGCCCGGAACUGACGCUGAGAUGCGAAAGUCAGGGGAGCAAACGGG